GACGAACGCUGGCGGCGUGCUUAACACAUGCAAGUCGAACGGAAAGGCCCUGCUUGCAGGGUACUCGAGUGGCGAACGGGUGAGUAACACGUGGGUGAUCUGCCCUUCACUUCGGGAUAAGCCUGGGAAACUGGGUCUAAUACCGGAUAGGAGCCAUUUUUAGUGUGAUGGUUGGAAAGUUUUUUCGGUGUAGGAUGAGCUCGCGGCCUAUCAGCUUGUUGGUGGGGUAAUGGCCUACCAAGGCGGCGACGGGUAGCCGGCCUGAGAGGGUGGACGGCCACAGUGGGACUGAGAUACGGCCCAGACUCCUACGGGAGGCAGCAGUGGGGAAGAUUGCACAAUGGGCGCAAGCCUGAUGCAGCGACGCCGCGUGGGGGAGGACGGCCUUCGGGUUGGAAACUCCUUUCGCUAGGGACGAAGCUUUUUGUGACGGUACCUAGAUAAGAAGCACCGGCUAACUACGUG
rnacentral:rRNA from 1 species